CCUGUCAAUAUUUUCUACAGAUCAUGUACCUCGGUGCAGCAAACAACAAUCGGUUCUCAACUGCACUGACCUUCUUCCUACAAUCAGUGGAUAAAUACAGAUUUCCAUCAUGGUAAAUAAUACAGCCUCAUAAGUUAAUACCUUGCCUUACCUUCUUGACCACAGUAUGCAAUUUUGUAUUCCAUGCAUGUAAAGAAUGUACAGAAUAUCAGCUGAGUAGGUACUACUUAUGUGUAUUAAAAAUAUGUUUUUUGUUGGCUCAGAGCAGAAACAAUGCUGCUUAAAGAUGAAGUGCUAUUUUUCCAGUUUUGACCUUAUGUCUUGCAUAAAAUAUGAUCAUUUACUUUAUCCUUAAAACAUUUGUGUAACCAGAAGUCCUUUGGAAGAUAUUUUGAAUAUACGUUAAGUUAAAUGAGUAGUACUUAAUAGUCUUGUCAGCUUAAAUUAAAUAUAAUUAAACAUAAAAAACUUUUAUUUUAGUAUACUAAAUCUAUUUUGAACAAACAAUUUCACACAACAGGUUCACAUUCCCAUCCGCAUUUUAAUCCUGAUGAAAUUAACAUUGCAAUAAUUGGACAAAUGUGGUAAAAAUGUUGAUUAGAGAAUGACAGAAUUUUGGUAGAGCCAGUCAGAACGAAUCGACCAGUCGACUAAAAGAGACUACAGCUCCCGCUGUCCGAAGGUUGACACUUUGAUUGAAAAAAAAUGUUGAUGCAAAGUUUAAAGUCUUUUGAGUUCCACAAAUAAAAAAUGCACACAUUUUUUAAUUUUUAAGGGUAAGAGGAGAUCAUGUAGUCGAGAAUGUUGACAUUGCGCGGCUAAUGUUCUCUGUCAAGCAAACAGGAAGGUCCAGUUUCAUUGCUGGGAAGAGUGUGCACAAUCAAAGGCAAGGCAGGCUUUUGUCACCCCCCCCCCCUUUAGGCUAUAAUUUAACAACAACAAAAAAGAAAUUAUAUAAAAAAUUCACUUGGUAAUGAUAAUCAUUUUUACUCUGAGACCUUUUGGUAAAAUCACUGGUUAAACAAAAGUAAUUAAAAAAUGUUAUGCAUGAAUGUAUGUAAACCAUAGCUAAUCUUACUCAAACUCUCUUAACAGAAUUGAGCGACUCUGUGUGCUGCACUCACUAGAGGAGGAUGGUUUGCCUGACCUGUCAAACAUUGCACACCUCUUCAGUUGUCAUUCUGCAUCUCUGCCAAGACUACAAGUGAGUCUGGAUAUCUUCAG